AUGGCCAGCGUCGCCAGGAACAGGCCCGUGCUCAUGGACUUCAUCCGCUCGGGCGCCUCCCGGAUGAAGAACUCCAGCUGCCCCACGUACGCGAACGCCUCGCCGGCGCCCACCAGGAAGAACUGCGGCACCAGCCAGAGCGCGCUCACAGCGACGCCGCCGCUGCCGUUGGAGGCGUCCCUGCGUUUCUUCUCGACGAGUGCGGAGACGGCCAUGCCGAGCGUGGCGAGGACGAGCCCCGCGGCCACGCGCUGGAGGGAGGUCAGGCCCUGCGGCCGCCGCGUGAGCCGGGCCGCCAGAGGGACCAGGAGGCGCUCGUUGAGCGCGGUGAAGAGCAGGACGGAGAGGAAGAGGAAGACGGAGAGCGAGCCCGCCGGGACGACGAAGUGGCUGCCGGCCCGGCGGUCCAUCUGCUCGGCCUGCUGGAUGGAGAAGGUGGUCAUCUGGGAAUAG
rnacentral:rRNA from 1 species